AUUGAACGCUGGCGGCAUGCCUAACACAUGCAAGUCGAACGGAAACGGCCCUUCGGGGGCCGCCGAGUGGCGAAGGGGGGGGAAAUACAUCGGAACGUGCCCGAUCGUGGGGGAUAACGAGGCGAAAGCUUUGCUAAUACCGCAUACGAUCUACGGAGGAAAGCAGGGGACCGCAAGGCCUUGCGCGGACGGAGCGGCCGAUGGCAGAUUAGGUGGUUGGUGGGAUAAAAGCUUACCAAGCCGACGAUCUGUAGCUGGUCUGAGAGGAUGAUCAGCCACACUGGGACUGAGACACGGCCCAGACUCCUACGGGAGGCAGCAGUGGGGAAUUUUGGACAAUGGGCGCAAGCCUGAUCCAGCCAUGCCGCGUGCAGGAUGAAGGCCUUCGGGUUGUAAACUGCUUUUGUACGGAACGAAAAGCCUUCUUUUAAUACAGGAGGGUCAUGACGGUACCGUAAGAAUAAGCACCGGCUAACUACGUG
rnacentral:rRNA from 1 species